rnacentral:rRNA from 1 species
UCGAGAAUUUUUGACAAUGGGGGAAACCCUGAUCGAGCGACGCCGCGUGGAGGAUGAAGGUCUUCGGGUUGUAAACUCCUGUCAUUUGGGAACAAGCCGGACGUAUUUACUGUAUGUCCGUUGAUAGUACCAGAAGAGGAAGAGACGGCUAACUCUGUGCCAGCAGCCGCGGUAAUACAGAGGUCUCAAGCGUUGUUCGGAUUCAUUGGGCGUAAAGGGUGUGUAGGUGGCGCCGCAAGUCGGGUGUGAAAUUUCGGAGCUUAACUCCGAAACUGCAUUCGAUACUGCGGUGCUUGAGGACUGGAGAGGAGACUGGAAUUCAUGGUGUAGCAGUGAAAUGCGUAGAGAUCAUGAGGAAGACCAGUGGCGAAGGCGGGUCUCUGGACAGUUCCUGACACUGAGACACGAAGGCCAGGGGAGCAAACGGGAUUAGAUACCCGGGUAGUCC